CGGAAUCAAUUUCCUUUCAAUACUUGAUAAUAGUGUUUUGAUUGUGUCAUAAAAACAUUCCUUGACUAGUAUCGCGAACAUUAUGACAGAGCUGUUGUAGCCCCCUUUUUUUUAACAUCGAUGGUGAAGAUUCAAAUAAUGAGCAGAGUUGACAAUGAGAGAUUCACAGGAGUGUUUUGAGCAAUGGGCAGCUGUGAUUGACUGUGAUUGGCUGCAAGUGUCAGCUGACCACUUUCAGCCUAUCACUGUUCCUAUUGCUGGUAUGAAUUAGUAUGGCUAGUAUGGCUAGUAUGGCCCAUCAUGCAGUGUUAAACUGCUCUCUUUCUCCCCAAUGACUGUGGCUCCCAGGGCAGGGGAGAUAAAGCUGACAUGCAGGAUAUUUUUGAAAACUGGAACUGUAAUAGAUUUACACCUUUUUUGGUAAUGCCAGCUUCUUGCUCCACUGUUAAAGAGAAACUAAAGUGGCAGACACAAACUUGUUUUCCUGGCACUAUAGCUUCUCACUCCAUCGUGGAUUCUCCCUCUCCCCAUGGUGCACAAGGUGUUAAAAAUCCAUUUUGUCACUUACUUUCGCUGCUUCCCGCCGGCUGCCAAUGCAAUGGCCGAGAUUACAUUAGGAUUUCCCCAUAGAAAAGCAUUAUACAAUAUUUGUUUCUACAUUGUAUCUACUACAGGGCGACAUUUGUGUUUACCCAACAUUAAGGCAACAAGGCCCAGUGUCAGACACACAACACUGGCUACAAGAAACAGACCUUUGUGUUUAGUGUUGGAUUAUCCACAAUGACACCAUUACCUUGAGGGGUGGCUGGUAUUUAUUAACUCCAGUAACUAGUUAUCCAGUUAGCCAGUGGUGGGGAUAAUUAAGGUGACAAUUACUUCCUCUUCCAGCUCUUUUCUUCAUUAUGAAUUUUAGUGUGUGAGAAGACUAUUUCUUAUCUCCACCCUCUCUCACUCCAUUAUUCCGCACUGCUGCCUUUUUUCCGUUCGGGAAGUGUAAAGAUGCCGGUAAACCUAAAUAAAUGAAUAAACAAAUGAUUAAACCAGCAUGGAAACAUCUACCUAAUGAAUUCUAGGAACACUAUACAUUACACCCUAUAUAAGGUUCCAUGCUGUGAUAAUUGACUGCACUACUCUCUUGCCAUUGCUCUAGAGACAAAGUUAUACAUGGGCUUGUCUCUUCUUUUACCACAAAUAUGCACACUUUCUGCUGUAAGAUAUAACACAAUUUAUUUUAGAUUUUUGCUAUAUUUAAAUCCACUUAGAUUUAACUUCCUUCGUAUUGCACAUGGGGAACAAGGAAGACCAUUAAACAGAUAUAAUUUGGUUGAUAGAAAGGCCCUGGGCCCCUUGGAUGCUGUUUUUGUUAGUAGUGUUCCUGAUGAAUGACUCCCCAAUAUUCCAUCCCAAUUGUAUGUGGGUUAAUAUGGAACAGAGAAGGUUGGUAGAAAUUUUAAACUACCCAUUUAACAUAAUAGAAGGGGCAAUUUCUAUUAUGUUAAAUGGGGAGUGACUUGCACCUUAUCUAAAACAUGCCCUUUUAUUUUUAAUCAUCAGUUGCUUGGGGUCAACCGUUUAAUUUAUAAUUAGCAAAAUGAUCAAAUGACUUUCAGGUAAACCUAUUGUAUACUAUAUAUUAUAUUGAAUCUAUCUAUCUAUCUAUCUAUCUAUCUAUCUAUCUAUCUAUCUAUCUCUGUCUGUCUGUCUGUCUGUCUAUUACUUGCUUCUCGGACUUUCAAGUUUGUCUGUCUGUCAAAUCUUUCUGAUUUUUUUAAAACUUUUUUAGUUAUUUGUUUUUCACACAGAUAUUAACAAUGGAUGACAAAGAAUUUGAGAUGUAAUUUGUUAUCCUUUAUAUGAAUAAAAUAUGAUGAUAAUAAAAUGAAAACACUAUAGUACAACCACUCUGGUUGUUAUCUAGAUACCCCUCACCCACUCCUUGCUGUUAAUAGUUAAAUGUUUUACUUGCAUGUUGAUGAACGCUAUGAUGGGACUAGACUCAUUAACAUGAACAUAUCUGGAAAAUGCAUAGACUGAUAAUGUCAAGUAAUUAAAUAUGUUGACAUUUUUAUGAGUUGAGAAUGAC